rnacentral:tRNA from 1 species
AUCUUUGUAGCGCAAUGGAUAGCGAGUUGAACUUCUAAUCCGAAGGUCAUGGAUUCGAAUCCCAUUAACGAUG